rnacentral:rRNA from 1 species
UACGUAGGUGGCGAGCGUUGUCCGGAUUUACUGGGCGUAAAGGGUGCGUAGGCGGCUCGUUAGGUAGGGUGUGAAAGCCCCCGGCUCAACCGGGGAAUUGCGCCCUAAACCGGCGGGCUGGAGUGAGAUAGGGGUGUGUGGAACUUCCAGUGGAGCGGUGAAAUGUGUUGAUAUUGGAAGGAACGCCGGUGGCGAAAGCGACACACUGGGUCUCAACUGACGCUGAGGCACGAAAGCCAGGGGAGCAAACGGG